rnacentral:rRNA from 1 species
CCUACGGGGUGCAGCAGUGGGGAAUAUUGGACAAUGGGCGAAAGCCUGAUCCAGCCAUGCCGCGUGUGUGAAGAAGGCCUUCGGGUUGUAAAGCACUUUCAGUGGGGAAGAAAGCCUUGGGGCUAAUACCCUCGAGGAAGGACAUCACCCACAGAAGAAGCACCGGCUAACUCCGUGCCAGCAGCCGCGGUAAUACGGAGGGGGCGAGCGUUAAUCGGAAUUACUGGGCGUAAAGCGCGCGUAGGCGGUCUGAUAAGCCGGUUGUGAAAGCCCCGGGCUCAACCUGGGAACGGCAUCCGGAACUGUCAGGCUAGAGUGCAGGAGAGGAAGGUAGAAUUCCCGGUGUAGCGGUGAAAUGCGUAGAGAUCGGGAGGAAUACCAGUGGCGAAGGCGGCCUUCUGGACUGACACUGACGCUGAGGUGCGAAAGCGUGGGUAGCAAACAGGAUUAGAUACCCCGGUAGUC